rnacentral:lncRNA from 1 species
AGAAAGGACUAUGGCUGACAGUGAAAGUGGAAAAGAAACAGUGGGAGGAAUGAGAGGCAAGAAGCAGCGGGUAGCACUUUUCUCGGUAUCAAAGAGACGUGAAACUAGGAACUUCCAGUUUCCCAAGACGCAACAUUGAAUUCAAUCAGAGGUAAAGAUUCUGGACUAUUGGAUUAAAUGAGGAGGCAGGAGCUACUAUCUCUUGCAGUGUGAAACCAGGGCCGGGGAUGAAGAUAUGGACACAUCUCAGCUUUCCAGGGAUGCUGUGAUGUGGUGAAAUUAUGCCAUUCAUUAGAAGGUGAUACUGUCAUCAAUGUGAGAGGCCCAGGACUCUGCAGGGCCUGAAGAAAUCCUGGGCAAUGAGUCUGAGGGAAGUCUCUCAGAGCAGCUACUCUGAGAGAGUAAAGCCGCAGCCUUUGUGGGGUAUGAAAGCAGCGUUCUCAUGGAUAAGGCUUAUUUGAGACGAAGUGGAGGCCUUGUUUUGUCCACUUACCGCAAUGUCCACUGUCCCCAACUGCAGCAUGCCAACAGCAAAUGUGUUUAGUGGAUAUGUGCUUUGUAGCUAACAAGAAACAGUAACAUUUAUUUUUCCAUGCCUAGUUGCUUAACAAACGAUAUUCUAAAAGGGCACCACGUUUUAUGUGUGUUUACAUGAAAACAAAUCAAAUCAUGAACUGGUGGUCAGGGAGUUCUGGAAACAAUAAACAAGUUGACCAUGCAACUGACAGCUCCCCUCUGAAAUGCAGACACAGCUAAGUCCAGCAUGACUCGCUGAAGGCACAUGCAAAGAACAGGCGGGGCAGUUUGGUGAUGAGGUCAGGUGGGUUCAAGAGUUCUUUACAACAAUCCCAACAGUGGAAGAGUUUAUCUGUGCUUGACACAUGUGUGAUUAAAUGAUAGAUUACAUUAAACAAGAGCAACAAUAACAUCAUAAACCUGCAUCUUUUAAUUCUCAGGCUAGGUUUUCCAUGUCAUCCCAAAGCCUUCAAUUAUUUAAACAAAUCUGUCAAAGGGAUGGUGCCCAAAAAUAUCUACUUUUCUCAAGCUUUUUUUUUUUUUAAAUUGUAAAAGUUUCAAAUCUCUUUUUAGUUUCAACACAUCUGUUCCAUAAUUUAAAUUUACAAUGAUCUAGUUCAGGAAGCAUAUGCUCACUUCUGCACCUUUAUUCAGAUUAAUGAAUAGCUCAAGUUGACAUAGAUAUCAUUACAAUUGGUCCUCACUAUAUUUGAUUUUAUCUAUUACCUUUUCUGGAACUAACAGAUGCUAAUUACUAUAAAAGGUUGGUUUUAGUUAAUAUCAAAUUAUUUUCUCCAACUUUCAAGAUAUAUCUCUUUUCUAUGUCAACUAAAUACAUAAGAAAUGGAUAAACCAUCAUAAAAACACUUAAUAUGAAAAAUUAAAAAAAUUCAAUUACUAAAAAAGUAAAAACAUCCAAAAUGAAAGUAUUAGCAUUCAAUCCACCAUAGUUUGUUUAUAAUAAAAGUAUUUUAAAAAUCAUACCUAUAAAAAUAUUUUUAAAAAUUGCCUCUAUGAACCAUUUUGACAUUACCUUAUGAAUAAAUUGGAAAAUGUGAAUAAUAUUCUCUAAAUCUUAGUAUCAUUUAAAGCACUUAAAGUUGACAAAAAUAAAUUCUAAGUAACAUUUCCCUUUUGUCCUUCUCAACUACAUGGAUAUUUGCUAAUGUCUAUUAUUUUAAAGAUUCCCAAGAAUUAUUUUAAAAUAAACUCGGCAUAUUACAUGUUAAAUUAGAAAAAAUGUAAUGUUUUCACUUUCUCUUUUGACAUAAUUAUAUGAAAGUUAAGAAUAAGAUUCUAAUCAAGAACUUUUUAACCAGGCAAAAUUUUCUUUUCCAAGGCAAAGAUCUGUUCUUGUGUCCUCUUACAAAAAGCUCACUUUAUUAUUUUUCUACUUUGUUUCCCUUUGAAAAUCAACACAGCGUCUUGAUUAGAUGACUAUUAAGCUGAUCAGGUGACUGUUACUGAAAACACACAUUGAAUUGAUUAAAAAUAUAGACUCUUCACUGAAACACUGAAGUCUUCAUUAUUUUCCUGCCUUUUUUUUGGUGACAUCUACGAAUAUGAUUUUUGAAGAUUUAUGUAACAGUAUUUUUAGGAAGAAUGCCAAGGAUUAUCCCCAAGAGACCAACAAGGAGGUCUUGCUUUGCAGAAAGUAAAAAAAAAAUUGCUGUGGUCAUUGAUCGGAGCAUCUCUCUUAGGGUACAGUCCCACAGUUACAGCUGAGGACCAUGCUCAGCAGAGCCUGCACUGUCACCCUGCAAGAGAGAAUUCUCUCAUCUCUAGGAACCAGAUGUACAGGUU